rnacentral:rRNA from 1 species
UACGUAGGUGGCAAGCGUUGUUCGGAAUUAUUGGGCGUAAAGGGCGCGUAGGCGGCAUGUUAAGUCGGCUGUGAAAGCCUGGGGCUCAACCCCAGAGGGUCGGCCGAUACUGGCAAGCUAGAGUACGGAAGAGGUAGCUGGAAUUCCCGGUGUAGCGGUGAAAUGCGCAGAUAUCAGGAAGAACACCCGUGGCGAAGGCGGUUCUCUGGGACGGUACUGACGCUGAGACGCGAAGGCGUGGGGAGCGAACAGG